UUCAAAUGCUGCCUUCAUUAGGGUGUAUUUUGAAAGCAGCAUCCCAUGUAAUCCUUCUCCGGGGAGGCUAUCACAUAACACCUUGUGGCGCACGGGAAAUUCUGAAAAAAAGUCUGAAUUAAUGGCAGACACAAGUCCCCGUUUGAGAGAACAUUUUCCAGAAGAAUAAUGAAUAACUUCGAAAUGGACAGGAGAAAACAGUCCUGCCAGACUUGUUUGGAGAUUCAGUCUCUCUCUCUCCAAUCUCUUUAGGCGCAUGUUUUUCAUGCCGUCCCCAAUGGUUGAAGAAGCUGGUGUCAUGGGUCAAGAGCUGCCGAGAGCUCCUCUUUCCUCUCUUUAAUUUUCUCUCUCCCCCUAUUGCCGGCACUCCCGAGACCCCAGCUGCUUUCGUCUCUUGUUGGAGAUCCGCGGUGUCGACAACCUCUCCAUGCACGGGGCGAGGGCGAAUGACUAGCGCUCUCCAGCUGCGCCUUCAAUUACCUGCUGUGCACCGAGCUCAUACAGGCCCCAGCGAACCAUAGGAGAUCUGCUGGGUUUCCUGGCACGCUGUAUGCCAAGUAGCUGCCAGUCGAGGAGGCACAGCAUCUGUUAAGCCCUCAGUUUUUAAGGCAAACAGUUCGGUUGGAAAGAAAAGUGAGCUUUGCAUUGGGUAGUAAAGAAAGUGAGCUUUGCAUUAGGUAGUAAGCAUCCAUAGUGAUACAGUUUGCCCUCUCUUGACAUCUCACCCCAAAGAGUUUGGUUUGGAAUACAGCCUUCAAUUUUAAUUGGUAGAUUGUUACAUUUAUUAUUCAUGAUUACUUCUGCUUUUAACUUGUCUAAAGGAGAAAUCCAGGUUUCUAUCAAUUGAAAAGGCUGCUGUUGGUUUUGAGCAUAUCAUUGUUUGCCCAGUGUGUUUAACUGUGGCUAUAAAUGUAUGUUGGUUUGCUGCUGUAAACAGGUUGUUUACUGUCCUCUAUGAGCUGUGUAAAUACAGAGUAUUACAGUAUGUUGUAUUUAUAAUACCUUAGUCUCAGUGAGCUGCGCGCAUAUAAUGGUUCUGCUAUACCCUUAUUAGCAUUUUCAAAGAC